UAGGGAAUCUUCGGCAAUGGACGAAAGUCUGACCGAGCAACGCCGCGUGAGUGAAGAAGGUUUUCGGAUCGUAAAACUCUGUUGUUAGAGAAGAACAAGGACGUUAGUAACUGAACGUCCCCUGACGGUAUCUAACCAGAAAGCCACGGCUAACUACGUGCCAGCAGCCGCGGUAAUACGUAGGUGGCAAGCGUUGUCCGGAUUUAUUGGGCGUAAAGCGAGCGCAGGCGGUUUCUUAAGUCUGAUGUGAAAGCCCCCGGCUCAACCGGGGAGGGUCAUUGGCAACUGGGAGAUGUGAGUGCAGAAGAGGAGGGUGGAAUUCCAUGUGGAGCGGUGAAAUGCGUAGUUUUAUGGAGGAACACCGGUGGCGAAGGCGGCGCUCUGGUCUGUAACAGACGCUGAGGCUCGAAAGCGUGGGGAGCAAACAGG
rnacentral:rRNA from 1 species